UAUGUUCGUAUUAUCACGUAUGUACUAUCACGUUAGUAUUAUCAUGUCAUAAUCGGAAAGCCUAGAAAAGUCCAGAAUCGAAAACAUCGAAAAUGCCCAGAAAAUAUAAAGAGCACAAAGAGUUGAACCUAUUGUGUUUUAGAGGGUUGUGCGCACGCUCUGAGCCUCUUUCUUGUGAAGAUCCAACUAAUUAUGUAGUGCCUAAAUCAAAAUAAGAAAGAACACAAAAAAAUAUGAUGAAGAACACGAAAAACAAGACGAAGAACAUAAAAUCGAAAAUCCAACCUAUUAUUUUUUUAGGGUUGUUUGCAUUUUUUAUG
rnacentral:lncRNA from 1 species